rnacentral:miRNA from 1 species
GGCACUUGCCAGGCUCUGAGCUGGACU